rnacentral:piRNA from 1 species
UGUCAAGGUAGAAAAUUCUUG